CAUGCAAGUCGUGGGGCAGCGCGGACUUCGGUCUGGCGGCGACCGGCAAACGGGUGCGGAACACGUACACAACCUUCCUUUAAAUGAGGGAUAGCCCACCGAAAGGUGGAUUAAUACCUCGUAACAUAUUUAAGUGGCAUCAUUUAGAUAUUAUAGCUCCGGCGUUUAAAGAUGGGUGUGCGUAUGAUUAGGUAGUUGGCGGGGUAACGGCCCACCAAGCCUACGAUCAUUAGCUGAUGUGAGAGCAUGAUCAGCCACACGGGCACUGAGACACGGGCCCGACUCCUACGGGAGGCAGCAGUAAGGAAUAUUGGUCAAUGGACGCAAGUCUGAACCAGCCAUGCCGCGUGAAGGAUGAAGGUCCUCUGGAUUGUAAACUUCUUUUAUUUGGGACGAAAAAAGAUCAUUCUUGAUCACUUGACGGUACCAUUUGAAUAAGCACCGGCUAACUCCGUGCCAGCAGCCGCGGUAAUACGGAGGGUGCAAGCGUUAUCCGGAUUCACUGGGUUUAAAGGGUGCGUAGGCGGACAAUUAAGUCAGUGGUGAAAUCUCGGAGCUUAACUCCGAAACUGCCAUUGAUACUAUUUGUCUUGAAUUUUCUGGAAGUCAGCGGAAUAUGUCAUGUAGCGGUGAAAUGCUUAGAUAUGACAUAGAACACCGAUAGCGAAGGCAGCUGACUACGGAACGAUUGACGCUGAGG
rnacentral:rRNA from 1 species